GGGGACACUGGGGGCCUGAGGCUGGGGUGCAGGCAGCUCUCUGGAGAGAUGCAGGAAGCAGCCAAGCCCACCUGACCUGGCGAGGCCCGCCCCUCCUGACCUCCAGCUCCUGAGCUCUAAAAGGACCGGUGACCAGACAGGGACCUCCCCUUGAGCAGUCCACGCACCUGCACCCCGUGAGGAGUGGGGACACUCAUGCCAACCUCGGGCCAGAUGCACUUAUUUCCCUGUGGCAAAGGGAGACUGAGGAUUCUGGGGGGGCGGGGGGACCGGCCAGGCUGACGCUGGAGAAGCCAAAGCCCGGGGUUCAGAGCGGCUGCACGUCACGCAGCCCCUGUCGGCGUGAAUGGGGUAUAGAGGGACUGCGGACGGGGAUCCCAGUGGGUGUCGCUAUCCAGGGGGCUCCAAGGUCAGCACGGUGGAGACGGCAGCCUGGACAGAGGGGCACAGACCCCGGGUGACCCCACUCCAGACCUGGGGCUGGUGGGCUGAGGGCGGGCGGAGGGGACGUGCCCACGCUGGGUGAGGGCCUUGGCAGCUCUGAGGGGCCAGGAUCCGGGUGGUCCCCUGGAUGGGGCCUGGGACCAUUUCCCAGUGUCAUCUGGGCAUUGCUGGACACCUGCCUGGGGCUGGGGGGUGGGGGUGGGGCUGGUGGCCAGGGCUGGAGCUCAGCCGUGUCAGAGCCCUUCCUCGUCUGCCCCAGCUGUGUCCGAGCAGCGUGGCUGUGGUCAGCGGGGAAGGUAUCCACCAAGCCUCGGCAAGGCUGCCACAGGAGGAGGCCGGAUGGAGGUGGAGCCUGGGCCUCCAUCCCUCCUGACCCUCUGGGAGCCUGCAGGCCCUCUCCCCUCCACAGCCCUUGCCCAGGGGUCCGGGUGGGCUGCCCUGCAGUGGGCAGGUGGCUGCUGUUGGGAGGGAAGCUGCUGCCCUUCCCAGGGAGGCCGCUUCUCCCAGCCCCGGUCACCCCCUUCUUCUCCCAGCCCCGGUCACCCCCUGCCUGCGCUGGGCAGGUGAGGGUGAAGUCCAGGAGGCCCGCCUGGCAGUGGCCGUGGGAACGUGACGCUGCCUGGUGAAGCACAAGCCAGCAGUGACGGGUGACCCUUGAAGGGCGGACAGGAAGCCAGUGGCCCCGGCUCCGGCCACCAGCGGGCCUGGGCAGACACGGCUUCCUCUCCUGCCCGCGUGUGGGGAAGGAGCCAGCUCAGUUCCUGGGCUGGAGAGGAGAGGAAGGGCCGGGCGUGGAGGGAGCCGCCUCGCUCUCCGGCCCCGGAGCGGUUCUCGUGGGAACCCCAGGAGGAAGAGGUGUCUUGGCCCCCGUUUCCAAGGCCAGGGCCAGCAGAGGACACGGGGCUGGGGCAGCAGACCACCCUCCGCCCCGCAUGAGCUUCCCCAGGCACAGGUGCUGGGGGCCUGCGGCUUCCCGGGCUGAAUCCUCCGGAAUGGGGGGCUCGUCCAGUCUCCAGGGUGGGACCUGGAGGCUCAGGCCCGGGCACCCGGCCUUCUGCACCCUGCAGUGAGGGCUCCCCAUCUGCACCUGGCCUGCCCUGCAAGCACUUCCCCGGCAGGCGCAUCUCACCUGAGUGGGGGACGGGCAGAGAGCAGCUGGACCUGGGCAUCAGUGGGCAUCAGGAUCCCCCAACAGCGGAUGACCCUGUGAGACCUGAGCAGCUCUGAGGGGCCUAGCAGCAGAGGCCCCAGUGCUGUGGACCUGUGCAGCCAGGCCAGGCGGCCAGCGGGGCGGGUGGAGGUGCAGCCAGGAACCUGCUGGGGAGCAGGAGGCCAAGGCCACAGCCUGCAGGUGGGCGGCUGGCCUGUGGGAGGGAAUGCCCACCCUCUGGGGUCCUGGACUCCAGAGACAGCAGGGGGCCCUUGGGGCGUUGGAGUUUAUGCGGCCUGGGGACAGCAGCCUGGGGACAGCAGCCUCGGUGCUAUUGCCUGCCUGGCCAUCAACAGCCCUUGGUGAGUGCUGAGCUUCUGACCAGGCUGGUACGAUUCACUGGUCACCUGCAGCUCUGGGCUUGCUGGAAUCCACAGUGACACCAGGCAGCCCCCGCCCACGGGCUCACACGGGGGUCCGGGCAGGCCCAGCUCCCCUGUGGCCUUGCAGCCAGGAUGGGGUCCCUGCAGGUGAAGGUCCAGCUCCAUCACAGUCUCCUCCUGCACCACCAGAUGCUACCUGGCCCCCGAGUCCCUCGGCUGCCCAGGUGGGUCCUGAUGGCCGAGACCCCUUGUUAACCCUGUGGCCCUGGGAGCCUGCUCGGCCUCCUGCCUUUGCCCCUCUCUGCCGCUCCGGAGUUUUCUACGGCACCUGCAUGGAGUAGCUGACCCCUUCUCUCUGCUGGGCCCCAAGGCAGCACCCUUGAAGGCACAUCGGAGUCCCCUAGGGACACGGUGUCCUGCCCAGUGCAGACCAAUGAAAGUAGACUCCCUAGGCCUGGGGCCGGCUGUUCCUGUCCAGAGCCCUGGCCACCACCUCUCUGCCCAGGUCCACUCAAGCCUCUCCAUGCAGUGCCCACCGGCCCCACUGCCCCUCCUCCUGGCUGCUGCCUGCCCAGGGCCAGCAACUGCCUGAAAUUGCCUCCCCCUGUGAACCGGGGAGGGGGGUGUCGCCCUGUGUGGGAGACACCACCCUCGUUUCUGUCCCACUCCCUCCGCCACCCACACCCCUGAGUGCCCACCACAGCUGGGCUCUGUGGCCACCAUGGGUGCGGGUCAUCAUUAACGGAAGGGGGCGCAGGGUGGCCAGCAGAGCCCCACACACCCACGCAGGAGUAGAGGGACAGGUGGGGAGGAGCCACAGAUUGACCUCUGCCCCACCGCUCAGCGUCCGCGUCUCCCUGCCACUGUAUCCGCCUGCUGUCCACGGGGGGACCCAGGGCCCUCCUGUCCAGCUUGGCCUCCGUGUGGUCCUGAGCGGCACUGGAGGGAUUUGGGCGGCUCCACCAACGUCCUCUGGGGGCCCUUUGUCCAACCUGGCCUGCAGCUGCCUGGGCAGGUCCUGGCCAGAAGGUGGAGCCCUGGUGAUACCCCAAGGCCACUGUUGGGCUCCUUCCUACCCGGUGGAAGGACCGGGGUGUGCAGCGGGACUCACGGCACCACCCUCCUCUGCACCACCCUCCUGUCUGUAGUCUGGGC
rnacentral:lncRNA from 1 species